AUAACGGCUCGUUUCAGAGCCACCAAAUAGUCAAGAAAGAAUACUCG
rfam:Strongylocentrotus purpuratus Contig123290_fixed, whole genome shotgun sequence.